CCUACGGGGGGCAGCAGUGAGGAAUAUUGGUCAAUGGACGCAAGUCUGAACCAGCCAAGUAGCGUGCAGGAUGACGGCCCUCCGGGUUGUAAACUUCUUUUAUUUGGGAAUAAAAUGGGGCUCGUGGGCCUCUUAUUAUAUUUCCCAUCAGAAAAAGUACCGGCUACUUCCUUUACAGCAGCCGCGGUACUACGGAAGGUCCGGGCGUUAUCCGGAGUUUUUGGGUUUAAGGGGUGCGUAGGCCGGAUUUUAAGUUAGCUGUGAAAGUGCGGGGAUCAACCGUGGAAUUGCAGUUGAAACUGGAGGACUGGAGUGAACACAGGGAGGCCGGAAUGCAUGGUGUAGCGGUGAAAUGCUUAGAUAUCAUGAAGAACUCCGAUCGCGAAGGCAAGAGGCCGGGGUACAACUGACGCUGAGGCUCGAAAGUGCGGGUAUCAAACAGGAUUAGAUACCCAAGUAGUC
rnacentral:rRNA from 1 species